rnacentral:rRNA from 1 species
UACGUAGGGGGCGAGCGUUAUCCGGAUUCACUGGGUGUAAAGGGAGCGUAGACGGCCAUGCAAGCCAGGGGUGAAAGCCCGGGGCCCAACCCCGGGACUGCCCUUGGAACUGUGCGGCUAGAGUGCGGGAGGGGCAGGCGGAAUUCCUGGUGUAGCGGUGAAAUGCGUAGAUAUAUGGAGGAACACCGGUGGCGAAAGCGGCUCUCUGGCCUGUAACUGACACUGAGGCUCGAAAGCGUGGGGAGCAAACAGG